rnacentral:rRNA from 1 species
AUGGAAGUAAACAAGUUUCAUGGACAAAUUCCAGCAAGAUGGCAGUUAGCAUCAACCCUACAGAUUAAUCUUUCUCACAAUGACUUAUCUGGUGCCGUGCCUGAAUUAUUUGGGUACCUUCCUAAGUUGGAGCAACUCGAUCUAUCUUACAACAACUUGGAAGGGGCUAUUCCUACAAGUGGGAUCUUUGAGAAUUCUGCCGCAGUAGUUUUGGAUGGAAACAAGGGACUCUGUUCGAAUUCCUCGAGGCUAGCAUUACCAAUUUGUCCUGGCAUCUCAUCUUCAGCAACUAAAACAAAGCACCAUAUGUCCUUGCUGGCAACCUUGCUGCUAAUUGUACUACCACCACUUACUAUUGCUUCCCUAGUCUUGCUAUGCUUUCUGCCCGCUCUUUGGAAGAGAGCAGUGUUCUUAUUUUUCCAAUUGGCGGUUGUGUCCAAGAAGAUGUUUCAUUUUGUUAGCCAUCACAAGAGAAAAGAAGUGCAUACAGUUCCGUGCAACGAUGAGAAGAAGCUAAAGAGGGUGUCAUAUCAGGACAUUCUUAAAGCUACCAACUGGUUUUCUUCGCUUCAUACUAUCAGCUCAACCUCUACUGGGUCAGUUUAUGUUGGUAGGUUCAAGUUCGACAGGAGAUUGGUUGCCAUCAAAGUAUUCAACGUGAGUGAACCUACCGGGAGUGAUAGUUACUUUAUUGAGUGUGAAGUGCUACGAAACACCCGCCAUAGAAAUAUAAUGUGUCCUGUGACCGUAUGCUCGACAUUUGAUUCACAAAAUCAUGAGUUCAAAGCGCUGAUAUUCAAGUUCAUGGUUAAUGGCAGCCUUGACAGAUGGUUACACUCUGAGCAACACAGUGGAAUCCCAGGCAGAGGGCUAAACUUUGGGCAGAGGAUAUGCAUAGCGGCAGAUGUGGCUUCUGCUCUUGAUUAUGUCCACAACCAACUGACGCCUCCUUUGAUCCAUUUCGAUUUGAAGCCAGAGAAUAUCCUGUUGGACGAUGACAUGACUGCACGGCUCAGUGAUUUCGGGUCAGCAAAGUUUUUGUCGAAUAUGUUUAUUCCUAAAAGCCUGGAUGAUGUUGGAGGAACAGUUGGAUACAUGGCUCCCGAGUACGGGUUAGGUUACGAGAUCACCGUAGGAGUUGAUGCAUAUAGUUUUGGAGUGCUUCUGCUGGAGUUGCUUACCGGAAAAAGACCAACCGAUGAUAUGUUUGUUGAUGGACUUACCCUUCCCAGUUUCUCUGAAUCCAUGUUUCCUGAAAGAGUCGCGGAGAUUCUGGAUCCUCGUCAUCAAGGGUGUGCAGAAAUAUGGACGCAGACAUAUAUUGUACCCCUGGUUGCUCUUGGGCUGGCAUGUACUGUGGAAUCUCCAAAGGACAGACCUGGAAUGAAAGAUGUUUGUGCAAAACUUUCUGCUAUAAGAGAUGCUUUUCUGGAACACCGUGAUGACGAUUGA